CAGCAGCCACGGUAAAACGGAGGGUGCAAGCGUUAAUCGGAAUUACUGGGCGUAAAGCGCACGUAGGCGGCUUGGUAAGUCAGAGGUGAAAGCCCGGAGCUCAACUCCGGAAUUGCCUUUAAGACUGCCGAGCUAGUAGGUGAGAGAGGUAAGUGGAAUUCCGAGUGUAGAGGUGAAAUUCGUAGAUAUUCGGAAGAACACCAGUGGCGAAGGCGGCUCACUGGCUCAUUCUAGACGCUGAGGUGCGAAAGCGUGGGGAGCAAACAGGAUUAGAUACCCGCGUAGUCCCUGUCUCUUAUAC
rnacentral:rRNA from 1 species